AAGCAGUGCAGUGCGGAACCGGACAACGUCUCCAUAUGGGAUGGCAGGCUGAAUGCAGUGUGCGAAAACACUGAUGUGGAGUGCCCACGGAGGCCAGAGGAUUCGGGGCGCAACGGCUCUUUCCCCAGGCGAGGUCGGGGAGCGCUGCACCCGCGUCGCAGGACCCUCGACCCCGGCCCGCAAAGCCCCGCCGGGACGAUCGCACGCCGCCAGCCCUCGGUCUCAGCUCCCACCUGUGCCCUGCAGCAUGUUCUGGCGGAGCAGGUCCCCGCUGGAGAGGUGCUUCAGCUCGAAGUGUUUGGUGAUGCGUGACGACACGGUGCCCUUGCCGGAGCCCGGGGCCCCCAUGAUCACGGCGCGCAGCAGCCGCCCCGACGCCCCCAUGGUGGCUGGCGGUGGUCCGAGCUGCGCAGACGCUGGUCUGUGGCCUGGCCUGCGCGCUCACAGGCUCCGCGGCCCUGGAGGGCUGGCAGCUGCAAGCGGGCGGUGGCCAGGACGCCCGGCUCUCCCGGAAGUGAGCGACGGCCACCGGGGCCGCCCCGCCGGCUGCUGCACCGCCCCUCCGCGCCCCUGCACCCCACUCCCUUGAGCUCCACCCGGCGCCUCUUGGCAUCCCCAGACCCUCGUGCCCUGUGCUGCCUGGUCCCAGCCUGCAGGCUGCGCCCGUCUGCAUUCUCCCCAGUGGACAACCUCUGAGCACCCCGUUCUACUUCUAGUCUCCCGCUGGCACCUCUGAGUGCCUGGAUUUCAUUUUUUUCCCCCCUCUGUGUUCACCUUUUUCACCCUUAGUCUUUUCUAAGAGCCAAGUUCUGUCCUGCUCAGACCCAACAGGAAGCAGCAUGCCCCCGUGUUGUGUCCCCUCGGCCCCUCUGGUUCACCAGGUGUUCCCCACCUUUUCACACCAAUCCUCCCUUGACCUUCUUCCCUCUGCCUUUUCACCCCAUUUCCUUCUCCUCCAGGGGUGACCUGGAACCCUCCUCACAGAAGCUUUCAUCAAGUGAAGUAUGUGUCUCAUCUCCCUGAAUCCACUUUCAGAACCAAAAGUAGCUGUCACCGUUAACUUCCGCAGAGGUCAAACAUACUAGCUCCUUCAGAAAUGCAUUCAUUUCAGGAAGAGCUACCCAGUGCCUACUGUGUGCCACUGUACUUAGAGGCCUCCGAGAAUGCUAUGCUGAACAAACCCGAGUUUCUACUGCUGUCCGUUUGUUUUCUUGCUUGUUUGUCCAGGGGUGGAAGUAAGGCUUUUUGAAACAGUACUGUGAAUAAAAACAAUAACAAACCAGCAGGCAGCAGUGAUAGACGUCUUUAAACCCCGCACCCAGGUAGAGGCAGGCAGAUCUCAGGAUUCCUGGCCAGCCUGAUCUACAGAGCGAGUUCCAGGACAGCAUGGGCUACACAGAGAAACCCUGUCUUGAAAAACCAAACAACAACUAACCAGAAGGUGUGGGAGGGAGCAGUGAUGCCCUGGCGUGGGCUCUGAAAACUGAAGUACAGAGAGGGAGAGUGAGGUACGAACGGAUGCAGAAGAGAAGCGAUUGAGUCUUAUUUUAUCUGUAAAAUGGACGCAGGAGAUUGGUGUGGAGUAGAACGGUGUGUGGAUUGCCUGUACAAGACCAACUACAAAGUGCUCCGUAAACGUUGCCCACUGUCCGCCUGAUACGGUUUCCUUGUGCCGGGCACCGGGAAAACAGAAAAGUGUCUCUAAAGGAAACACCAUGUGUGCCCCCUCAAAGGCUGCCAAAUGACUGGUUCA
rnacentral:lncRNA from 1 species